AGGUGCAGAGCUUAGCUGAUUGGUGAACAGUGACUGGUUUCCGCUUUGUUCACAGUGGCUAAGUUCUGCACCU
ensembl:miRNA MIR27B microRNA 27b